UACGUAGGGGCCAAGCGUUGUCCGGAUUUAUUGGGCGUAAAGAGCUCGUAGGCGGUUCGGCAAGUCGAAUGUGAAAUCUCCACGCUCAACGUGGAGGGGUCAUUCGAUACUGCCGUGACUUGAGUACGGUAGGGGAGUGUGGAAUUCCCGGUGUAGCGGUGAAAUGCGCAGAGAUCGGGAGGAACACCCGUAGCGAAGGCGGCUUCCUGGACCGGUUCUGACACUGAGGAGCGAAAGCGUGGGGAGCGAUCCGG
rnacentral:rRNA from 1 species